CAAUCAGGUUUUUUGCCUAAACAUUCAACAGUGCAUCAAUUAAUAGAAAUCUAUGAUUGUAUUUUAAAUGCACUAGAAACAAAAGAAAUUUGCUGUUUUGUUUUUUGUGAUUUUUCGAAGGCCUUUGACAAAGUUUGGCAUAUUGGCUUACUACAUAAAAUGAAAGCAUAUGGCAUUGAGGGAAAUCUUUUAAAUUGGUUCACUAGCUACCUAUAUCAAAGAAAACAAAAGGUUAUCAUUAAUGAAUCAUCCUCUACUUUUUGCAAUGUUUCAGCUGGUGUACCCCAAGGAUCCGUUCUUGGUCCUUUAUUGUUUAUCAUAUAUAUUAACGAUAUUGCUGAACAGUUAACUUCUUUAUGCAGACUAUUUGCAGAUGACACUUCAUUCAGUUACUCGGGUCAUGACGAGGAACUUAUACAGUCAGUUGUUAGUCGUGACCUGAGACAGCUGGAUGAAUGGUCAAGAAAGUGGCUUAUGUCUUUCAAUCCUGAAAAAACAGAAAUUAUGAUGUUUUCAAAUAAUGAGAUACAAAACCUUAAUUUUACUAUGAACAACAAAGAAAUACCAAUUGUGCGAUCUCAUAAGCAUCUAGGGGUUUACAUUUAGAAGUGACGCAAAAUGGAACAACCAUGUUGAAAAUAUAUUAAAUAGUGUUAAAAAACAUCUGAAUAUACUGCGAAAACUCAAAUAUCAACUUAGCCGACAAAAUUUGGAAAAAUUAUAUCUAGUAUUUAUUAGACCAAUUUUUGAAUAUGCAACUGAAGUAUGGGACAAUUGCGGAAAAGGUUAUUCAAUUAAACUAGAACAGCUACAACUUGAAGCUGCACGAAUUGUAACAGGUUUGCCUGUUUACACACACUCUGAGACUGUCUUAAAAGAGGUUGGUUGGGAAACUUUAGAGGAACGAAGAAAAAGAAGAAAACUACAAUUAUUUUAUAAAAUUCAGAAUAAUAAUGCCCCUGAAUAUUUAUGUAACCUUGUGCCCCCUAAAAUUCAAAGUACAACACA
rnacentral:lncRNA from 1 species